UCCACUGUUCCAUCAGCGACUGGGCGAACAUAGGGCACAUGGCCACUCUUAUGCUGCGUUUUUUGAAGUUUUUUCCACUGUUCCAUCAGCGACUGGGCGAACAUAGGGCACAUGGCCACCCUUAUGCUGCGUUUUUUGAUGUUUUUUCCACUGUUCCAUCAGCGACUGGGCGAACAUAGGGCACAUGGCCACUCUUAUGCUGCGUUUUUUGAAGUUUUUUCCACUGUUCCAUCAGCGACUGGGCGAACAUAGGGCACAUGGCCACCCUUAUGCUGCGUUUUUUGAUGUUUUUUCCACUGUUCCAUCAGCGACUGGGCGAACAUAGGGCACAUGGCCACCCUUAUGCUGCGUUUUUUGAAGUUUUUUCCACUGUUCCAUCAGCGACUGGGCGAACAUAGGGCACAUGGCCACCCUUAUGCUGCGUUUUUUGAUGUUUUUUCCACUGUUCCAUCAGCGACUGGGCGAACAUAGGGCACAUGGCCACUCUUAUGCUGCGUUUUUUGAUGUUUUUUUCACUGUUCCAUCAGCGACUGGGCGAACAUAGGGCACAUGGCCACUCUUAUGCUGCGUUUU